rnacentral:rRNA from 1 species
CUACGUGCCAGCAGCCGCGGUAAUACGUAGGGCGUGAGCGUUGUCCGGAAUUAUUGGGCGUAAAGGGCUUGUAGGCGGUUGGUCGCGUCUGCCGUGAAAUUCUCUGGCUUAACUGGGGGCGUGCGGUGGGUACGGGCUGACUUGAGUGCGGUAGGGGAGACUGGAACUCCUGGUGUAGCGGUGGAAUGCGCAGAUAUCAGGAAGAACACCGGUGGCGAAGGCGGGUCUCUGGGCCGUUACUGACGCUGAGGAGCGAAAGCGUGGGGAGCGAACAGGAUUAGAUACCCUGGUAGUCCACGCUGUAAACGUUGGGCACUAGGUGUGGGGGCCACCCGUGGUUUCUGCGCCGUAGCUAACGCUUUAAGUGCCCCGCCUGGGGAGUACGGCCGCAAGGCUAAAACUCAAAGGAAUUGACGGGGGCCCGCACAAGCGGCGGAGCAUGCGGAUUAAUUCGAUGCAACGCGAAGAACCUUACCAAGGCUUGACAUGC